CAGGCUACAAUGGUGUGUGUGUGUGGGGUGGGGGCUUUUUCUCCAGGAAAAAACCUGGAGCAGAACUCAACUCAAAAGGUGGGAUCCAUCCUCAUCAGGCAGAAAAGGAUAGGCACUUACCCCUGAACACCAACCGGGAGGACGUCAUCAGUCUCAAGGCCAAACAUGUCCAGAGCAUGGAUCAGCAGUUGGAGAGAGAUCAACAGGAGCAGGAGGGGCAGAGGGAGAGGCCAUCUUCAGAGUCCUGCUGAGCUAACUCUGUGUGGUGAGCCGAGGGACAAACGGCAUGGCCACAGCAGAUAUAAAAGGGCUCACUUUUGUGCCAAAUGGGCAGGUCGGCGGGUGGAAGACUGAAUCAAGGAAAGGAGGAGCGAGACAUAGAUUCAUCUGUUGGACAACAGCAGUGGAUGGAUGAGCAGAGAUGGAAAGAAAAGAAAAACCUCUUUAGAAACUCAACUUUAGAAAUUGAUUGGUCCCAAAAGACUUUCACAGUGGAGCAGUAAUACGUUCAGAAUAGAAAUCUUGGACCCAUAACUUAUGCAUAUGUAUAGCGCAAAUACCAAGUCUGAACUAGAG
ensembl:lncRNA